AGUGAACGCUGGCGGUAGGCCUAACACAUGCAAGUCGAACGGCAGCACAGUAAGAGCUUGCUCUUACGGGUGGCGAGUGGCGGACGGGUGAGGAAUACAUCGGAAUCUACUUUUUCGUGGGGGAUAACGUAGGGAAACUUACGCUAAUACCGCAAACGACCUACGGGUGAAAGCAGGGGAUCUUCGGACCUUGCGCGAUUGAAUGAGCCGAUGUCGGAUUAGCUAGUUGGCGGGGUAAAGGCCCACCAAGGCGACGAUCCGUAGCUGGUCUGAGAGGAUGAUCAGCCACACUGGAACUGAGACACGGUCCAGACUCCUACGGGAGGCAGCAGUGGGGAAUAUUGGACAAUGGGCGCAAGCCUGAUCCAGCCAUACCGCGUGGGUGAAGAAGGCCUUCGGGUUGUAAAGCCCUUUUGUUGGGAAAGAAAAGCAGCAGGUUAAUACCCCGCUGUUCUGACGGUACCCAAAGAAUAAGCACCGGCUAACUUCGU
rnacentral:rRNA from 1 species